AUCAGCUGCGGACUAUCUAAUUUUUCUUUCCCAUACACUCACUGAUUAAUACGCAGUUAGAUGAGAGGAUGAGAUGGGUGAUUGAUAAGAGUUUAUAUGAUAUAAUGAGUUGCACGAGGAGGGCAGAAGUUGACUGAAGUGGACAUGACCUUGAUGGCCCCAGUGAAUGUGGAACAGGAAAGCAACUGACAGAAACUUAUUUAGUAUUUUUACUUCUAACCUGAGGAUCGAGAGUGGAAGCGAACUGAUAAAUUACACUAGUGACACAAAGCUGAGAGGCAUUGCCUUUGCAGGGGAGGAUCAAAAUAUCAUGCAGGACCAGCUGGAUCACUGAGGCCAGAAGAAAAAAAAGGAUGAAAUUUAAUAGCACAAAGUUCAAGGUCACAUAGUCUCUGACUGGCAAGAAUUUCUGCCAAGAACUGGCAACCUGUGUCUUGGAAACAGCUGAAGAGAAGGAAAAAGACUUGAGGCUACUCUCUGAUCACAGCCUAAUCCAAAGAAGAAGUGGGAAAAUGCAGUAUUGCAGAAGCCGUUAUAGAGAGAUUUUAAGCCAAAAAGGUUGGACACCUGUGAGCCAGAACAAGUCUUCCCUUUCUCUGAUGGAUCACCUUUUGAUGAUACAAACACUCUUCCUGUGCCAGGGAAGCACAGAGGUUGACUUCUCAAGUCAGUGAGGGCUUCUUUACUGGGAUAUUAAGUCAUGUUUUCUGAAGCCCACUGUAAGCGUCUGCUUCAUCAAGCACAUCAAGAUCCUUAUUCCUAACCUAUGGACUAUAAAUCUCCUAAGCUAUGUCUCUGGGUACCUGCAAAAUUGCUGAGUAAAUAAGGAACAGAAUCAUCAUCAGAAUAACAACAAUAACAUAUUUUGACUGCAUAACUCAGCUACCUGCUAUGUGUGUUUACUAAGGAGAGAAACUAUUGCUACCUUCCUUUCUGCCACGCAGACUUCACAUCUCAAUUGCAUUGCCUGUAACUGCUGUAUUAAUACAUACUGUGUAUUUUAAUACAUACUGUAUGAUAUCUUAGGCAAUAACAUAUUGAUGUGGUGUUCUAUAAAAUACAUUGUAAGAUUCUUUUUGAAACAAACAAGGUAAAUUGACACUAAAAUAAAAAUGAAGGAUUUAUACUUGUUUGAACACUUGUUUCACACAGUGGUUGUGUGAAAUUGAGAAGCCAAUAGUGAUUAUGUUGAAAAAGGUUUAUCUAUAAAUAAUAUUUCAAGAAUACAGAUACAUAAAGCACAGAGGAUAGAGAGUGGUUCUCUGGAGUCUAUAUGUACCUGCCACUUUCUUAUUUCUGAUCUCAGUUAACAUGAAUAAAUUUGGUUGCUGCUUUUCAUCAUCUGUUCUCAGAUUGGUGUCAAGGUCUACUUUAGUGUCUCAGAAAAUGUUUUAUGUUAGGAAUAAAUGAUCAAUGUGAAAGUGAAAGAGGACCCUGUUGGCACCUCAGGCAUGUCUGGGGGGAGAGGGCAAGAGAUUUUAGAGUGAACUGAGCAGACCAGCUGGUCAGUUAAACAGCUGACAUUGAGAAGAGGCCAUCACAUGAUUAAGGAUAGGUUCCGUAUGCCCGUGGAAUGAGAUGAGGAAAUAAUUUUGUUCAAAUAUAUACUCUCAUCCUAUGAAGGUUUGUUUAUAUAUUUACUCUCAUGAUAAUGAGUAGUUCCAUGACUUCAUUGGGAUGAUUAUUUAAGAUUAUCACAUGCUUUUCAUCUUUUCUUUUGCUGAAGACAGGUUCACAGAAAAAAAAACUGUUCUCGGGACACUUUUCAUCUUACAGUCAGGUACUGCCUCAGUUAUGAAAUUGAGAACAUCGCCUAUCAGUUUACACUGGAUACUGGAUCUUCUUCAUGGGAACCAAGUCAGCACUUGGCUGUACAUGUAGGAGGGCAAACAGAAGCUAAGAAACAGCAUGGGAUGAAGGUAAAAUAGCAGGACACUGGGAAAGGAGCAGUGGGAAGUUUCUCAGAAAUGCUACUGGGGGCAACAAGUGCUGAAAACGGAGAAAUGCA